AGAAUUAACGCUGGCAGAGUGCAUAACACAUGCAAGUCGAGCGGAAUACGUCGCAAGACGUAUUUAGCGGCAGACGAGUGAGUAACACGUAAAUAAUCUACCCCCGAAUGACGAAUAACCUGUCGAAAGGCAGGCUAAUGCGUCGUACUCUCCCCGGAAGGCAUCUUUCAGGGAGGAUAGACCCGCAAGGGUUGUUCAGGGAGGAGUUUGCGGCCCAUCAGCUAGUUGGCGGUGUAACGGACCACCAAGGCUACGACGGGUACCCGGGCUGAAAGGCCGGACGGGCACGAUGGCACUGAGACACGGGCCAUACUCCUACGGGAGGCAGCAGUGGGGAAUCUUGGACAAUGGGCGAAAGCCUGAUCCAGCAACUCUGCGUGAGGGACGAAGGUCUUCGGAUUGUAAACCUCUUUUACAUGGGACGAAAUCCCGCAAGGGUCUGACGGUACCAUGCGAAUAAGCAACGGCUAACUAUGCGCCAGCAGCCGC
rnacentral:rRNA from 1 species